GAUGAACGCUGGCGGCGUGCCUAAUACAUGCAAGUCGAGCGAACAGACGAGGAGCUUGCUCCUCUGACGUUAGCGGCGGACGGGUGAGUAACACGUGGAUAACCUACCUAUAAGACUGGGAUAACCUCGGGAAACCGGAGCUAAUACCGGAUAAUAUAUUGAACCGCAUGGUUCAAUAGUGAAAGACGGUUUUGCUGUCACUUAUAGAUGGAUCCGCGCCGCAUUAGCUAGUUGGUAAGGUAACGGCUUACCAAGGCAACGAUGCGUAGCCGACCUGAGAGGGUGAUCGGCCACACUGGAACUGAGACACGGUCCAGACUCCUACGGGAGGCAGCAGUAGGGAAUCUUCCGCAAUGGGCGAAAGCCUGACGGAGCAACGCCGCGUGGGUGAUGAAGGUCUUCGGAUCGUAAAACUCUGUUAUUAGGGAAGAACAAAUGUGUAAGUAACUAUGCACGUCUUGACGGUACCUAAUCAGAAAGCCACGGCUAACUACGUG
rnacentral:rRNA from 1 species